rnacentral:rRNA from 1 species
UACGUAGGUGGCAAGCGUUAAUCGGAAUUACUGGGCGUAAAGCGUGCGCAGGCGGUUUUGUAAGUCUGUCGUGAAAUCCCCGGGCUUAACCUGGGAAUGGCGAUGGAGACUGCAAGGCUGGAGUUUGGCAGAGGGGGGUAGAAUUCCACGUGUAGCAGUGAAAUGCGUAGAGAUGUGGAGGAACACCGAUGGCGAAGGCAGCCCCCUGGGUCAAGACUGACGCUCAUGCACGAAAGCGUGGGGAGCAAACAGG